UAAUAUUUAUUUAUUAAUUAUUUUUUUUUUAUAAAUUUAAUAAUAAAAUUAAUUUUAAUGUUAAGUGUUUUAGUAAUUUUUAAUGAAUUAAUAAUUUUAAUUAUAGUUUAAUAGUAUUUUAAAAGAAUAUUGAAAUAAAUUGAAAAAUUUUUAUUUUUAAAGAAAAUUUUAUUUAUUGUACCUUGUGUAUCAGGGUUUAUUAAAUAAUUAAUUAUUAUAUUAAUUUUUCUCGAAUUUUAAAGAUUUAAUUAAUAUAUAAAAGUUAUUGUGAAAUAAUUAUUUUUAAUAUUUAAUUAGAAAUGAAAUGUUAAUCGUUUUAAAAUAUAUCUAGUUUUUUAAGAAAUAAAUUUAAUUUAGUUUAAUUAUUUUAUUUAAUUAAUUAUUUAAAUUAAAUAAAUAAUUAAAAUAAUAUUUUAAGGGAUAAGCUUUAAAAUAAAUUUUUAAAUUUUUAAUAAUUAAAAAAAUAAUUGUAAGCUUAAAAAUAGUUAUCAUUAAUAAAUUUGUUAUAAUUUAUUUUUUAUUUAAAAUUAUUUAUUUUAAAUUAAAUUUUUUAUUAAAAUAUAAUAUUUAAUUAAAAAAUAUUAAAAAUUAUGAUAAAAUUAGUAUAUAAAUUUUUAUAUGAUAAUUAAAUUGAAAGGUUUUUAUGAAGAAUUCGGCAAAUUUAAUAUAUUCACGUCUUUUUGUAUUUUAUUUAAAGUCUAACCUGCCCACUGAAAUUUAAAGGGCCGCGGUAUUUUGACCGUGCGAAGGUAGCAUAAUCAAUAGUUUUUUAAUUGAAGGCUAGUAUGAAUGGUUGAAUGAGAUAUAUACUGUUUUUUAAAAAUUUUAUUAGAAUUUUAUUUUUUAAUUAAAAAGUUAAAAUAAAAUUAAAAGACGAGAAGACCCUAUAGAUCUUUAUUUUUAUAAAUUAUAAAUUAUAAAGAAUUUAAAAAUUUUUAUUUUUAAUAAAAUUUUAUUGGGGUGAUAUUAAAAUUUAAUAAACUUUUAUUUAUUUUUUACAUUGAUUUAUGAAAAUAAGAUCCUGUUUUAUGGAUUAAAAAAUUAAGUUACCUUAGGGAUAACAGCGUAAUUUUUUUAGAGAGUUCUUAUCGAUAAAAAAGAUUGCGACCUCGAUGUUGGAUUAAGAGUUAUUUUUAGGUGUAGAAGUUUAUUCACCUGUUUAACAAAAACAUGUCUUUUCGACCUUUUGAUUCUUACAUGAUCUGAGUUCAAACCGGCGUAAGCCAGGUUGGUUUCUAUCUUUAAUAAAUUAUUAUAUUGUAGUACGAAAGGACCUAAUAUAUAAAAUAUAAUUUUAUUGAAAUUGAAAAUUAUUAAUAUUAUUU
rnacentral:rRNA from 1 species